UUCUUUCCCGUUUCUAUCAUGUCUGCGUCCGUAUGAGAGGGAGAGCUGUCCUCAAAGUUAGUACCUUGUCUAGGAGAUUUCGGAGCAUGGUUGUUGCGACCCAGGCUUUGCAUAUAGCUGGGAGAGGUUGCCGGAUUGUGAGUCAUCCUCCCUCCCCCCCACCAACCCCAUUCGAGAAAUUCCAUGAUAACACACCAAAGAAGUAGAAUUUACCAUUCCUUCCCUUCAUCUGGAGUCAUCUGAAGUUGAACAGCCCUUCUGGUGGGGGGGGGGCAUUUUUGCUGUGAUAAAUUUGUCUUUGUGACAAACUCCACUGACCUCCAGGUGGAGCUGCAUGAAAGAGAGACAGAAGGGGAAAGAGGAAAACAACCAGGUUGGUGCCCGGAAGAAGCAGAUAGCAGGAGAAAGACACAAAAUACCAAGAUGGUGCACGGUCCUUCAUGGAUUUGCAGGGAAGAGAGUGACGUGUGAACUGAUUCAGCCAGUGACAUUCCACAGGAAUUUGGAGAGACGGCCCAUGGGCUCAGCCAGCCCGGGGUGGGAUGCGAGAGGAAGGAGACACGGUCUAAGGAGCUGGCCGUCUAGGUGGCAGUCUUUGGGAUGGCACCUCACAGACAGCCAAAGACCAACUACGCUCCAUGGUGAACUGCGAUGCAGCCCAAGACGUGGUUUCACAGAACCAUGACAGACGAUUGCCGAACAUCAAAUUGAUGAGUGAAUACUUCAUCAGAUCUGGUUGCCUUAACAACUAAAAUAGCCAAAAUGUUAAGACAGUCAAAUGAGAUUGAUUAUUUUUGAUACAAUCUGUGGGUGGUUGACCCAAGAAUUCUCAGCCUAAUCACGCAUAUAAACACAGAGGCUGUCUCAGCAGACGCAAAAACAGCCAGAGGACAAGUGAGAAAUCCGUCAAUCACCUGGAUGCCUCAUCGCGGAGACCCCACGGAGCAGCACGCAGAGAAACACCCAGAAGAGUCUCCGGAUGGCUUCUGGGUGCUGGGUGUCACGGGAGGCAGCCAGCCUUAAAAGCUGGGAAUUGUGAUCCUUUCCGUUUCUAGCAAAAAGACAGAGUCUGGCUUGUAAUGGAAAAACAGAUUCCCUCAAACUGUUGUCUAGAGGGGCUGAAUCAUGCAUGAAUGUCAGCAGAUGACGCCAGCCGAGGCAUCAUUUCAGGGGGACUUUAUCUGGUGUGAAGCGGGAGAGUUCUACUUCAUGAAUUUUCUUUAAACCUCCACAGAUCAUUGUUGUGCUGUGUCAUACACCAAAAGGGAAAUUAAAUCUCUCUCAUAAUUGGAUUAGGUAUUUGCGCGCUUUCCUGAAGACAAGGGAAAGGAAAUUCAUUUUAGAUUUUUUUUUUUUAAAUCUUGAAUGAAAGAAUUGCCAUCAGCGCAUCGGGUCACUGUCUGAAUUCCGGCCAGCGCUGGCCGGGGGACGAAUGCCUUAGUGCGGUGGUUCAGCUACAGAACCGCCCAGAGCUUCACACUUGUUUGUUUGUUUGCUUAAGUUUUUUCUUUUCAUUCUGAGUUCUAAAAAAAAAAAAAAAAAAUCAUUUGAUAGCUUGGUGGCAAUGCAGUCUGUGUUGAGAAAAUAGGAAUUGAUUAAGAAGUGAGAGACUGUGUGAGACUGAAAAUGAGUGGGGAAAAAGCCUACAAAGCAUUUACAGUGUAAUUUUCCAAUACAGAUUUGAACAGACACCACAGGCACUUAGAAACAGAUGCAUUUUCAAUGCUUUAUCACCGAACGAAGAAUAAUUUCUAUUUCCCCCUUUUAACGAGAACCCAAGAAGAUAUAAUGCUAAAAUCUAUAUAUUAGCAUGGCAUUCAUUUGCAUACUUAAUUUCUUGAAACUUGAAAGAUGCCGUUUCAACUCAGAGAUCCUGCCAUAACUAGCGUGGAGCUGGUGUUAGGGAAGAACACUUGCAAGCGUCAUUGAUGGAAACAAAACAUUAACCUGUAAGUACAGUCUGCUAGAUUCAUUAGCGAGGACGUUAACUUGAUGUAUUGAUUCUUAAUGAAUCUGGGGAUACAUUUGAAUGUAUGUUUAAAACAUAAUAGGGGCGCCUGGCUGGCUCAGUUGCUGGAGCGUGCUGACUCGAUUUCAGGGUGGUGAGUUCGAGCCCCAUGUUGGGGGUAGGGAGUACUUAAAAAAUAAAAUCUUUAAAGAAUACA
rnacentral:lncRNA from 1 species